rnacentral:misc_RNA from 1 species
GAUGAAGAACGCAGCGAAAUGCGAUAAGUAAUGUGAAUUGCAGAAUUCAGUGAAUCAUCGAAUCUUUGAACGCACCUUGCGCCCUUUGGCCAUUCCGAAGGGCAUGCCUGUUUGAGUAUCAUGAACACCUCAACUCUCAUGGCUUGCCAUGAUGAGCUUGGACUUUGGGGGUCUUGCUGGCCUGUGGUCGGCUCCUCUCAAAUGAAUCAGCUUGCCAGUGUUUGGUGGCAUCACAAGUGUGAUAACUAUCUGCGCUCGUGGUUUCCAUCAGAUAACCUCCAGUGAUGGAGGUUCGCUGGAGCUCAUAAAUGUCUCUCCUAAGCGAGGACAGCUCUUUUAAUGUUUGAUCUCAAAUCAGGUAGGACUACCCGCUGAACUUAAGCAUAUCAAUAAGCGGGA